GACGAACGCUGGCGGCGUGCCUAACACAUGCAAGUCGAGCGGGGUUGAAGCGAGGGGUAACUCGAGUUUCUACCUAGCGGCGGACGGGUGAGUAACGCGUGGGCAACCUGCCUCAAGGACUGGGAUAACAGCUCGAAAGGGCUGCUAAUACCGGAUAUGCCUGUGGCCUCGCAUGGGGCUAUGAGCAAAGGGGAAACCCGCCUUGAGAUGGGCCCGCGUCCCAUCAGCUAGUUGGUGAGGUGAAGGCUCACCAAGGCGACGACGGGUAGCCGGCCUGAGAGGGUGACCGGCCACACUGGGACUGAGACACGGCCCAGACUCCUACGGGGGGCAGCAGUGGGGAAUCUUGCACAAUGGGCGAAAGCCUGAUGCAGCGACGCCGCGUGGAGGACGAAGCCCUUCGGGGUGUAAACUCCUUUUCUCAGGGAAAAGGAUGAUGGUACCUGAGGAAUAAGCCCCGGCUAACUACGUG
rnacentral:rRNA from 1 species